AAUAUUGCUCAAGGGGGCAAGCCUGAUGCAAGCAAUGCCGCGUGUAGGAGAAGGCCUUAGGGUUUAAAAGUACUUUCAGCGGGGAGGAAGGGAGUAAAGUUAAUACCUUUGCUCAUUGACGUUUCCCGCUGAAGAAGCACCGGCUAAGUCCGUGCCAGCAGCCGCGGUAAUUCGGAGGAUGCAAGCGUUAAUCGGAAUUACUGGGCGUAAAGCGCAAGAGGCGGUUUGUUAAGUCAGAUAUGAAAUCCCCGGGCUCAACCUGGGAACUGCAUCUGAUACUGGCAAGCUUGAAUCUCGUAGAGGGGGGUAGAAUUUCAGGUGUAGCGGUGAAAUGCGUAGAGAUCUGGAGGAAUACCGGUGGGGGAGGCGGCCCCCGGACGAAGACUGACGCUCAGGUGCGAAAGCGUGGGGAGCAUACAAGAUUAGAUACCCUGGUAGUCCACGCCGUA
rnacentral:rRNA from 1 species